CAGAUUGAACGCUGGCGGCAUGCCUUACACAUGCAAGUCGAACGGCAGCACGGGGGCAACCCUGGUGGCGAGUGGCGAACGGGUGAGUAAUACAUCGGAACGUGUCCUGUAGUGGGGGAUAGCCCGGCGAAAGCCGGAUUAAUACCGCAUACGCUCUACGGAGGAAAGGGGGGGGAUCUUUAGAACCUUUUCGUUAACAGGGGCGGCCGAUGGCAGAUUAGCUAGUUGGUGGGGGGGUAAAGGCCUACCAAGGCGACGAUCUGUAGCUGGUCUGAGAGGACGACCAGCCACACUGGGACUGAGACACGGCCCAGACUCCUACGGGAGGCAGCAGUGGGGAAUUUUGGACAAUGGGGGCAACCCUGAUCCAGCAAUGCCGCGUGUGUGAAGAAGGCCUUCGGGUUGUAAAGCACUUUUGUCCGGAAAGAAAACCGCCGCCCUAAUAUGGUGGUGGGAUGACGGUACCGGAAGAAUAAGCACCGG
rnacentral:rRNA from 1 species